rnacentral:lncRNA from 7 species
AACUCUCUACAACCAUCCUAACACCAACAAGCUGUUGUAGAAGUGGUUCUGCAGAUUUUCUGCACUCAUCCAAUCUCCUUUCUGUCUCCUUUCUGCACAGCACCUCCUGUGACCACGCAUGCGACUGCAUUGUGCCCAGCUGCUGCUGUGCCCAGCCAUUCCACAGGCUCUGUCAUCUCCUUGGCAUCCCAUUGGAAGGGACUGUGGAAGGAAAGGGCCGUGUUUCAUGUGAGAGGCAUUGCUUGUGCUUGGUAGCAGUUCUGUAAAUCCGGGCUCAGGAGCUCAGCAGCACAAACUUUGCUAAUUAUCAAUGGAAUUAAUGCGAGGAACUCCCUGAAACCCCUAUGAAUGCAUGCCUUGCUGAACAAUAUGUCCCUCAAAGCUUUAGGAUGGGAAUGCCGUGAUCAGGGGUGACCACUGCUCAGAGAGGCCUGAAGUGUUCUGUGAUGUUUUGAAUCCCAUGCAACCAUACCAGAGGGGAUGAAUUUUUUGGACCAUCACAGCCAGUCCCAGAGUGGGAUGGGAAUGAAGCAGCAGAGGCUGAUGAGAAUGCCUUUCUUCAACUGAGGGCGUGAAAGAACAAUUUCCCAUUGCUAGGAAUGGAGGUGCUGAGUUAACAUCAACUUUGCAGACUGUGUUGAUUUUCUGCGUGGUUCACUCUAGGCUUCCUAUAACAGACAGCUUAUUAUCUCGCCUUGUGAAAAUCAUACUUGACUUCUGGGAGACGUCUAUCAAAAGGAAAGAAUAGACUGAGAAGCUGGUACUUUCGAUCUAAUUAUCUGGGUUGGUGGUUGUUCAGUGAACCUAUUAACUGCUUGAAGUGACUUGCAUCUUCACAGACGACUAAAGACAUGAUGCUGCACGUUUCAGCUUGGAUAUUUCAAGAACUGUACAUUUUUCUAGGAAAGCAGAAAUUUUACUUUACUCUCUUUUAAUGCAUUGUGAAAUGAAAGGUGCCAAUUUUAUUCUCCAUUUUUGGUAAGCAUUUUCUCAAUUUAUACAAGCUUCUGACUCCUUAAAAACACGUUUAAAUUAUUUGGUAAAAAGUGCAUUUGGUAAAAAAUGCAUACAUUAUUUGGUAAAAAAAAGUCCACAAUACCUGUAUUUAUCAUUACUCCUGCUACAAUGCUUCCCCAGCCGCAUAGGAUAACUGUUAAUUACUAUGUAAAUACGACAUUUAUAUAAAUACAUGCCACAUAGCUGGUGGCUAG